rnacentral:rRNA from 1 species
GAUGAACGCUGGCGGCGUGCCUAAUACAUGCAAGUCGAGCGAACAGACGAGGAGCUUGCUCCUUCGACGUUAGCGGCGGACGGGUGAGUAACACGUAGGUAACCUACCUAUAAGACUGGGAUAACUUCGGGAAACCGGAGAUAAUACCGGAUAAUAUUUCGAACCGCAUGGUUCGAUAGUGAAAGAUGGCUUUGCUAUCACUUAUAGAUGGACCUGCGCCGUAUUAGCUAGUUGGUAAGGUAACGGCUUACCAAGGCAACGAUACGUAGCCGACCUGAGAGGAUGAUCAGCCACACUGGAACUGAGACACGGUCCAGACUCCUACGGGAGGCAGCAGUAGGGAAUCUUCCGCAAUGGGCGAAAGCCUGACGGAGCAACGCCGCGUGAGUGAUGAAGGUCUUCGGAUCGUAAAACUCUGUUAUUAGGGAAGAACAAACGUGUAAGUAACUGUGCACGUCUUGACGGUACCUAAUCAGAAAGCCACGGCUAACUACGUG